AUGUAAAUGAUUAACACGUGAUCAAAUACGAUCACUAUUGCUGGCAACGAGUGUAAAGAAGUGGGAAAAGUCGAACCAAGAGCACGAAAAUUAUACUGACAAUCUGAUAGGGGGAGAGAGAUAGGCUAACGCGAGUGAGGAAGAUCACCUACAAUUGGCACACAUACACCGCAGCACAAACUUUUUAUCUACGAUCGCACGAUGUGUAACUUUGGUUGUGUGCUGAAGAGUAUACCGCGAUCGAGUUGCUCUAUACCCGAUUCACGAUCGCGAUCCUCAUGACUGAGCGCAAUGGCGAAGUACAAGCACUUAUCAAAACUCCCUGUGUGCACUCAGUAAUGAAUAAAUUGACUUGGAUGGUCGAUUUGGUGUAUCAAUUUGCUACAUAAACCUUCUACACAGAAGCUAGGAGUCGCCACUACGUAGACGAUUGGACAGAGUUGGAAGAUCGCAAAACCACAAGCCACAGACUACUGAAUGCGUUUUAAUUCCAGUUAUAUCGUUCGAUAUAUUUAUAUAAUUUUUCUAUGUUUACUUUUU